GAUGAACGCUGGCGGCGUGCCUAAUACAUGCAAGUCGAGCGAACAGACGAGGAGCUUGCUCCUCUGACGUUAGCGGCGGACGGGUGAGUAACACGUGGAUAACCUACCUAUAAGACUGGGAUAACAUCGGGAAACCGGAGCCAAUACCGGAUAAUAUAUUGAACGGCAUGGUUCAAUAGUGAAAGACGGCUUUGCUGUCACUUAUAGAUGGAUCCGCGCCGCAUUAGCUAGUUGGUAAGGUAACGGCUUACCAAGGCAACGAUGCGUAGCCGACCUGAGAGGGUGAUCGGCCACACUGGAACUGAGACACGGUCCAGACUCCUACGGGAGGCAGCAGUAGGGAAUCUUCCGCAAUGGGCGAAAGCCUGACGGAGCAACGCCGCGUGAGUGAUGAAGGUCUUCGGAUCGUAAAACUCUGUUAUUAGGGAAGAACAAAUGUGUAAGUAACUAUGCACGUCUUGACGGUACCUAAUCAGAAAGCCACGGCUAACUACGUG
rnacentral:rRNA from 1 species